rnacentral:rRNA from 1 species
UACGAGGGGGGCAAGCGUUGUUCGGAAUUAUUGGGCGUAAAGGGCGCGUAGGCGGUCUGACAAGUCCGAUGUGAAAUCUCUGGGCUCAACCCAGAGUCUGCAUUAGAAACUGUCGGGCUUGAGUAUGGGAGAGGUGAGUGGAAUUUCCGGUGUAGCGGUGAAAUGCGUAGAUAUCGGAAGGAACACCUGUGGCGAAAGCGGCUCACUGGACCAUAACUGACGCUGAGGCGCGAAAGCUAGGGGAGCAAACAGG